rnacentral:rRNA from 1 species
GACGAACGCUGGCGGCGUGCUUAACACAUGCAAGUCGAACGGAAAGGCCCUGCUUUUGUGGGGUGCUCGAGUGGCGAACGGGUGAGUAACACGUGAGUAACCUGCCCUUGACUUUGGGAUAACUUCAGGAAACUGGGGCUAAUACCGGAUAGGAGCUCCUGCUGCAUGUUGGGGGUUGGAAAGUUUCGGCGGUUGGGGAUGGACUCGCGGCUUAUCAGCUUGUUGGUGGGGUAGUGGCUUACCAAGGCUUUGACGGGUAGCCGGCCUGGGAGGGUGACCGGCCACAUUGGGACUGAGGUACGGACCAGACUCCUACGGGAGGCAGAAGUGGGGAAUAUUGCACAAUGGGCGGAAGCCUGAUGCAGCAACGCCGCGUGCGGGAUGACGGCCUUCGGGUUGUAAACCGCUUUCGCCUGUGACGAAGCGUGAGUGACGGUAAUGGGUAAAGAAGCACCGGCUAACUACGUG